GGGUGUGGUCUUGCGUUAAGCUCUGUGACUGCAUCAAUGUGUGGUGGAGAGGUGCCGGGAGGAUGGAUGUUGGUGACAUCACACUGCUGUCUAUUCAUGGGACGUCUCUGGGGUGGGAAGACACAAGGAGAGAAUGGGUUUUGUUACAAGCCAAAGAAAAGAGGAAUAGAUUUGCCUCCUUGGACAGCACAUCAUACCACUGCUUGACAUAAAUAUGAUGUUUCUCAUUAUACGAUGUUUCUCAUUAUACGAUCUCUUCUGACAGUUGGAAAUCUCUCUACAUAUGAGGCACCUGUGGAUUGCUGGCCUCUUGGCUGUUCCUGAUUUUCCUUCUCAGUUGCAUCAUUUCUUAGACGUCCCUUUGCUUGCCUUUCUUGUGUCCAGCAGCACUGGUUACGCAUGGAAAGCUCUGUCGAUGAACAUAAAUUGCUUCUGAUUUAUGAAUGAACCCUUCCUGGAGAGCUGGUAGCUCCUGUUUAGCAUAUAGCUGUUCCAUCUGUCAUUUUUAUUUUAGGGACUUUUCCUCAUGUGCUUGCUCAUUUCCUGCAGCUGGGUAUGACCUGUCACUUAUUUCAAUAAGCUGGUCCCCUCUCCCUCCCCUCAGUGAGGGAGAACAGGAUGGAGGGAAGUGAGUCCUCUGUCCCAGUUGAAUCCCGGGGCUCUUGUAACAGAAUUAUAUUUCUUUUCCAAGACAAUUCUAUUUCUCUGUCUCAUUCCCUCCUUUUCACUCUUUUGUUUUGAGUCACAGAAACAGCCCUGGACCUGUUGGAUGGAAAUUCCCUCCCCCCUCAAAUCCCCUAGAAAACACUGCCUCCUCCUCCUCCUUCUAGUCAGCCCUACUCUGAAAGCCUUGCUGAAUCCUCAAAGGCAGAUACUUUGGGAAACAGAAAUUAAAAGGAAACAGGGAGAAGAAGUUGAUAAAAACAGAGGGACAUGAAGGGUGACAGAAAAAAUAGAGGCAAGAACUAGGAACUCAGAGGAAAAGGGAAAUGAAGAAGGUGGGAAAGAAAAGCAAAAACUUGAAAUUGAUUUACAUCCUAGUGCUCAAGGACAGCCAGGGCUAAUAGCGAGACUCUGUCUUAAAAUAAACGCAUAUUGAAAAAUGGAACAAGAGGAAGAUUGAUUCAGAGCACCCUAUGUCCAGGUGUUUUUCCAGUGUCCUGGGGGCCAUAUAGAUUAAUCAGUUUGAUUCCCUGUUCCCGGAGACGUUAGAAUUAAAAAGGAAAAUCAGACGAGUAGAUGGAAGUAGCCAGCUACACCUGUAACUGCCCUGUUCCGUGCGACGCUCAGCUGUUCAGAGUCGCCAACACAAGCACUUCAAAUAAGCAGAACCCUGACAAACGCCCUUACAACUCCGGCUUUGCUCCCUUUACAAAUCCCUUUCAGCCCACAGCUCCGGCCGGGGGCUCUCCGGAGAUCCCAAGGACAUGUCCAGGGUCCGGGAGACAAUUACAGGUCCCUUUCCUUCUUACAAGGAAGCCAAGUCUGAACUGCCAGAUAGCGGGGAGGGAGAACACAGAGAUAUCCUCCUCCCCUCCCGAGCUGUUCAAGUCCUGUUCUCCAAUAAAGAACUGUAACCGUUGGUUUCUCUGCGGUGAAUGGGGCAGUCAUUACAUCCUGCUGAGCAAGACACCAAACGGGCAGAGUUCCUUUUCCAGUGACCUUUCCCCUCCUCUUAAUGGGCAGUUGUCCCUGAACCACAAGGCCUUGUUGUUGGCGCAGGUCACCACGCACAGCCUGCAGCCACACACACAGUCGUUUGAGCAGGAAAGCGAGAGGACACCGCUCCAUAAAAGGCCUCUCAGUGUGCCUUGUGUGGCAGACAAACGGCGCACGGGUCCUUGAAGUACCGAAAAGAGCCGGAGAAAGGAAGUUUGCCCGUGGAGAGCUUGUGGACCCAUGCCUAGGAAUGUCAGUCCAGCUGCGUGGCAAGUCCUUCUGCCCCUGGAGCCCGGGACUCUAGCAGGCGAUGCUCAAAGAAGAGAGAUUUCCGAACCGCUCCCUGUAAAGCAACACUGGUCGGUUUAGCUGCCGUAAUGCCACCGGACAGCAGACAGCCCUUCUCGGAAUAAUAGAAUAAUAAACAUGGAUGAAGACACAAGACCUUCUAACUCCUAGAAGAAGGAGACUCCCAGGUGACUUUCUCCUCUGGACCUCUAGUCUCCACAGACCAACAUUCAUGAUAUCUGAAGCUAUUUACAGAGUCAGGAAUGCUGAAUGGCUUUAUUUUCUGAACUAUGCAUUUCCUGUUGGAAAGAGGGUUUGUUGAACAUAGCAUUUUUUUGCCCAACUGAUAAGUGGGCUUCUAAUCCAGUCAGACUGGUGAGGAGUCUACGCCUAUCAUAUUUUACCUCUUCCCCCCAGAAGACCUUUGCCCCAUUUGGUCUGGAUGAUGAAGUCCAAAAGCAAAUACAGCACAGGAAGUGCUGUUGCUCUUGGCUCUGUGAGAAGGGAUCGUCAGCAAGCCAGUUCCAAACCUGAUGGAUUCUCUUAACCCUUCUCCCAGAAAAGGGGACACUUUAUCCUGCAUCUGGGGCACACCGCGCUUCUCAUGGAUCAGAGGUCAAGCACACCAGAUAUAUGUGUCUCAGUGAACACAGAGACAAAGACAAGUUGAUGGCGUCCUCUGAAAGAAGCCUUUCUGGACUGUGGUCAAUGAAAUAGGAAACAAAGAGAGGUGAACAUAUAAUUAUUAAUAUCGGAGGUCUGCCCGGAGAAAUGUGUCACUAUGUGAUUUAGUCAUUAUGUGACUAUCUUGGGGUGCACUUACACAAACCUAGAUGGUGUGGGUCAGUGACUCAGUGUGGACUUCGAUGCCAUCAAGAACAUGACAGCCACCAGUCCUAUUUGUCUGCUGCCAGUGUUACACGGAAUACUGGCUUACCUUGCAUUUGUUGUAAUAAGAGGAGAAAAGGGACCCUCUAAAACAGCACAGUGUAGUUACUCGUAAGUCAUUUAAUAUCAUUGCCAAGUACUACCCACCGUAUAAUUGUAUCUGCUAUUGUCUGAUGUGACUGGUGGCAGUGUGACCGUUAACACAAGCAUCACCAUGGGUAUGUGAGGAAUAUCUUGCCUUAUCAGGCUAUGAUAGCAACAGUGGCCCUAAGAGAUAAACAUUUCCCAGCCCCACUUUAGUCCAUGAGAUCACCAACAUUUAUGUGGUCUGUCAUUGACUCAAUGUUCCGGGUACCUGGCAAGCCUUAAUCAUUCAAUUGAGUGAUAAGAUAACACGGUGGAUCUUUCUGUUUCCCUUCACUUAUAGACUGCAGGCUUGUUCUCUGGGGAAGGUGAUAUGAUUUACAUUGUCCGUGACUGUGAUGUUAACUUUUAAAAUGAGCACUGGUGGGAUGACUUGGGAGAAUAGCAGCAAGAGACAGCCUUCCCUGUGCUUAUAGUCUGCUGCUCCCUUCCUGAGCAAUGAGAAAUUUUUUUCAAAUCUUACAAUGGCUAAACUUAUAAACUUAAAAAUCAAGUUAGGAAUGGAGACAAGUGCCUACGAUCCUGGUACUCAAAAGACUGAGACAGGAGAAUCAUGAGGCCAGUGUGGGAUAUGUAAAGAGAUGCUGUUUCUAAUAUAAAACUGAAUAAGCUAGGUAUG